rnacentral:lncRNA from 1 species
CUGAACCUACCAAUAAAUGCUAUCUCUACUGCUCAUCACAUUGGAGUACUGGAGAAAGAGUGGGCCAAUUUUUGUAGAGCUGGAUGAUGUUGGUGUUUGUUACACCCUUCACUUUGACGCUCGUUUUCGUUUUUACCUUGCUCUUCUUUUUUGUUCUUUUUUCUAUUGAUGUUUUAUUUUCUCGAAGCCCUAGCUGCCUUACUCUAUAUAACUAAAUUCACUUACUUAAUAAAUGAAGCAAGUAGCGUGCUACCAUUCUCUCAAAAAUAAAAUAAAAUAAAAUAAAAUAAAACACUCUCUAACUUUUUUUGACUCUUUUUUUAUAUUUUUUCAAAGUUUUUAUAGACUCUUUUCUCUCUCCUUAAUGAAGUCUCCACUUAGAUACUAUCUCUGUAAAUAGAAAAUUUAAAGAGCAUUAAUGUUAUAAUGGAUAAGGAUAAAAUAGGUAUUUCAUAAUUAUGAUGGUAAUUUUGGACGAAUA